rnacentral:lncRNA from 1 species
UCUUUUCAAGAGCCCACUACGCUCCUAACCAGGACGAUAUUUCCGCCCUCAAAGGGGAAAUUCACGGAUUGAUUCAAGAGCAAGUACGUGUGGAAUCAGAAAAAGGAAUGGGUCCCCUGUCCAUUCUGUUUCCACAACAAAGACAGAUCAACUCCCAAAUGGCCCACUAUAUUCUAAGGGAACUUGAACUGUCCACGGAGACUGAUACGGGCCUUCUUCGGCAAUGGGCG